rnacentral:ncRNA from 1 species
UAUACAUAUAUUUAUCAUUUUACUGUAAAUAUGACCUCAAAAUAACAGAGGUCAAGGUCGAAUAGUGAGACGAUGGGGAAAAGCUUCAUCGUCUAAAGGGAAACAACCCAAAUCACCAGCUAAGACCCCUAAAUGAUCGUUCUAUGAUAAAGGAGGUAUGGAUGCAGAGACAGUCAGAAAGUUUGCCUAGAAGCCACCACCUUUGAAAGAGUGUGUGAUAGCUCACUGAUCGAACGCUAUUGUAUCGAAGAUGAAUGGGACUAAGCGAGCCGCCCAAGCUGUGAGAUGUAAAAAUACAUCGGUA